UUACAGUUGAAGGCUGUGCAUGUACCAUAGUUGCAGAACAAAAACACUCAUUGCCAUAAUGUUACAUUCUGAUGCACGCUGGAACAGCAAUUCAAAAACACAUGAACACAAAAAUGAAGCGAGACAUACAGCUUCAAGGCCAGAGGGGAAAAAAGAUUGGUGAGAACAGUGAAGGAAAUGGACUAAGAGUCAAGCCUGAGAAUGAAUUAUCGUUAUAUUGUCCCUCAUUUUGGAGUUUCUCUCACAAACAAUAUGCAACAUUUGGGAGCUGGCAAGCUGAGAGAACCUGAUGUCUGAUGACGAAGCACAUGAACUUUGAUGGUAGAAAUGGGAAAUCAUGGCUUCUAAGAAUGCCCCAGGCUUCCUUACCCACUUGCCAUCAAUGUGCUGAGUUGAAUUGUGGUGUUUUGCAUGAUGCUAAUUCAUCUGAUGCAAAUAUAAAUUGAACUUAAAUAUACUGCUAAAUAAAAUGU